rnacentral:rRNA from 1 species
UGCGCAGGCGGUUUUGUAAGUCAGAUGUGAAAUCCCCGGGCUUAACCUGGGAAUGGCAUUUGAGACUGCAAGGCUAGAGUGUGUCAGAGGGGGGUAGAAUUCCACGUGUAGCAGUGAAAUGCGUAGAGAUGUGGAGGAACACCGAUGGCGAAGGCAGCCCCCUGGGAUAACACUGACGCUCAUGCACGAAAGCGUGGGGAGCAAACAGGAUUAGAUACCCUGGUAGUCCACGCCCUAAACGAUGUCGACUAGUUGUCGGGUCUUAACUGACUUGGUAACGCAGCUAACGCGUGAAGUCGACCGCCUGGGGAGUACGGUCGCAAGAUUAAA